AGCUCAAUUGGAUAGAGCAUCCCCCUCCUAAGGGGAAGGUUGCAGGUUCUUAUCAGGACAAAAAUCUGCUGCA
rnacentral:tRNA from 1 species